rnacentral:rRNA from 1 species
GACGAACGCUGGCGGCGUGCCUAAUACAUGCAAGUUGAGCGAUGAAGAUUGGUGCUUGCACCAAUUUGAAGAGCAGCGAACGGGUGAGUAACGCGUGGGGAAUCUGCCUUUGAGCGGGGGACAACAUUUGGAAACGAAUGCUAAUACCGCAUAACAACUUUAAACAUAAGUUUUAAGUUUGAAAGAUGCAAUUGCAUCACUCAAAGAUGAUCCCGCGUUGUAUUAGCUAGUUGGUGAGGUAAAGGCUCACCAAGGCGAUGAUACAUAGCCGACCUGAGAGGGUGAUCGGCCACAUUGGGACUUAGACACGGCCCAAACUCCUACGGGAGGCCGCAGUAGGGAAUCCUCGGCAAUGGACGAAAGUCUUACCGAGCAACGCCGCGUGAGUGAAGAAGGUUUUCGGAUCGUAAAACCCUGUUGGUAGAGAAGAACGUUGGUGAGAGUGGAAAGCUCAUCAAGUGACGGUAACUACCCAGAAAGGGACGGCUAACUACGUG